rnacentral:misc_RNA from 1 species
GAUGAAGAACGUAGCGAAAUGUGAUAAGUAGUGUGAAUUGCAGAAUUCAGUGAAUCAUCGAAUCUUUGAACGCACAUUGCGGCCAUAGGUAUUCCUUUGGCCAUGCCUGUUCGAGCGUCAUUUACACCCUCAAGCCUAGCUUGGUGUUGGGCGCCUGUCCCGCCGUUUUCGCGCGCGGACUCGCCUCAAAGUCAUUGGCGGCGGUCGUGCCGGCCCCCUCGCGCAGCACAUUUGCGCUUCUCGGAGGCCCGGCGGAUCCGCGCUCCAGCAAGACCUUUCACGACUUGACCUCGGAUCAGGGAGGGAUACCCGCUGAACUUAAGCAUAUCAAUAAGCGGAGGA